rnacentral:miRNA from 1 species
GAGCAGGUACAGACUCUCCUAGGGAAGAUGGCAGCCUCCAAACAGCCGGGAGUGCCUGCUUACCCAUCUCCUCACCGCCU